GAUGAAGAACGUAGCGAAAUGCGAUACGUAAUGUGAAUUGCAGAAUUCAGUGAAUCAUCGAAUCUUUGAACGCAUAUUGCGCUCUCUGGUAUUCCGGAGAGCAUGCUUGUUUGAGUAUCAGUAAACACCUCAACUUCCAUAUCUUUUUUGAAAUGGGAGUUGGACUUGAGUGAUCCCAACGCUUUUCCUCACCGAAAAGUGGCGGGUUACUUGAAAUGCAGGUGCAGCUGGACUUUUCUCUGAGCUAUAAGCAUAUCUAUUUAGUCUGCCUAAAAAACAGAUUAUUGCCUUUGCUGCAGCUAACAUAAAGGAGAUUAGUUCUUGUGCUGACUGAUGCAGGAUUCACAAAGACAGGCUUCGGCCGACUUUGUAAACUCGAUCUCAAAUCAAGUAAGACUACCCGCUGAACUUAAGCAUAUCAAUAAGCGGAGGA
rnacentral:misc_RNA from 1 species